GCCGGUGUAGCUCAGUUGGUAGAGCAUCUCAUUCGUAAUGAGGGGGUCGGGGGUUCGAAUCCCUCCACCGGCACCA
rnacentral:tRNA from 1 species